AACAAGAAUGAGCCCUACGACUGCAAGAUUUACUAUGUCAUGUUGGGACUGGCUUGAAAGAUCAAUAAAUCCGUAUAUCCGCACUUGCUUACCGUGCAGACCGUCAAUGAGAGCGCCUGUGAGAACUGGCACCUGCAUGGGAAUAAGGACAAAGAGAACGGACCAAAGGAUAGCAGAGGCUAAUCUUAUCCUAUGCUGCCUCAAACGCUGAAGU
rnacentral:misc_RNA from 1 species